GAUGAAGAACGUAGCGAAAUGCGAUAAGUAAUGUGAAUUGCAGAAUUCAGUGAAUCAUCGAAUCUUUGAACGCACAUUGCGCCCCCUGGUAUUCCGGGGGGCAUGCCUGUUCGAGCGUCAUUUCAACCUUCAAGCUCUGCUUGGUAUUGGGCCUGCGCUGGUCUCCCAGCGGGCCUCAAAAUCAGUGGCGGUGCCGUCUGGCUCCGAGCGUAGUAAUUCUUCUCGCUCUGGAGGUCCGGUCGUGUGCUUGCCAGCAACCCCCCAUUUUUUUCAGGUUGACCUCGGAUCAGGUAGGGAUACCCGCUGAACUUAAGCAUAUCAAUAAGCGGAGGA
rnacentral:misc_RNA from 1 species